rnacentral:rRNA from 1 species
UUAUGAAUAAGGAUCGGCUAACUCCGUGCCAGCAGCCGCGGUAAUACGGAGGAUCCGAGCGUUAUCCGGAUUUAUUGGGUUUAAAGGGAGCGUAGAUGGAUGUUUAAGUCAGUUGUGAAAGUUUGCGGCUCAACCGUAAAAUUGCAGUUGAUACUGGAUAUCUUGAGUGCAGUUGAGGCAGGCGGAAUUCGUGGUGUAGCGGUGAAAUGCUUAGAUAUCACGAAGAACUCCGAUUGCGAAGGCAGCUUGCUGGACUGUAACUGACGCUGAUGCUCGAAAGUGUGGGUAUCAAACAGGAUUAGAUACCCUGGUAGUCCACACAGUAAACGAUGAAUACUCGCUGUUUGCGAUAUACAGUAAGCGGCCAAGCGAAAGCGUUAAGUAUUCCACCUGGGGAGUACGCCGGCAACGGUGAAACUCAAAGGAAUUGACGGGGGCCCGCACAAGCGGAGGAACAUGUGGUUUAAUUCGAUGAUACGCGAGGAACCUUACCCGGGCUUGAAUUGCAACUGAAUGAUGUGGAGACAUGUCAGCCGCAAGGCAGUUGUGAAGGUGCUGCAUGGUUGUCGUCAGCUCGUGCCGUGAGGUGUCGGCUUAAGUGCCAUAACGAGCGCAACCCUUAUCGAUAGUUACCAUCAGGUUAUGCUGGGGACUCUGUCGAGACUGCCGUCGUAAGAUGUGAGGAAGGUGGGGAUGACGUCAAAUCAGCACGGCCCUUACGUCCGGGGCUACACACGUGUUACAAUGGGGGGUACAGAAGGCAGCUACACGGCGACGUGAUGCUAAUCCCAAAAACCUCUCUCAGUUCGGAUCGAAGUCUGCAACCCGACUUCGUGAAGCUGGAUUCGCUAGUAAUCGCGCAUCAGCCAUGGCGCGGUGAAUACGUUCCCGGGCCUUGUACACACCGCCCGUCAAGCCAUGGGAGCCGGGGGUACCUGAAGUGCGUAACCGCGAGGAGCGCCCUAGGGUAAAACUGGUGACUGGGGCUAAGUCGUAACAAGGUAGCCGUACCGGAAGGUGCGGCUG